GGCUUUUUCUUGCAGUGGUGUUUACAACUAACUGAUCGCAGCCAGUUACAGAUUUCUUUGUUCCUUCUCCACUACUCUGCUUCACUUGACCAGCCUUAA
ensembl:misc_RNA Y_RNA Y RNA